ensembl:lncRNA
UCUACAGAUAGGCCAUCUAUUCCUGGUGCUCUGCCACAUUCCAUGCCUUGAAGAGCUUUCUUCAGCUCUUCUAACGUUAUCUCUCUACAGAGAUCGGCAUUUGCCUCAUCAGUCACCUGAGGAAGAUCCUCCAUAAACCCAUUGGUGUUUGACCCGUGUAUGAGUUCACUGCUAUAUAGUUCUUUAUAAAAUUCUACCGCUCUCUUCCGAAUUUCUGUAUGAUUUGACAAGAGUGCACCAUCCUUAGAACGCAGAGCAUGUAUACAUCUUUUUUGUCCAUUUUUUCUUUCCAAAUUAAAAAAGAAUUUAGAAGAUACAUCCAUCCACUCUAUAUUUUUAAACCGGGAUCUGAUCAGAGCCCCUUGUGCUUUCAGGUCUAGAAUUCCUGCCAAUUCUUUACUUUUUCGAUUUAAAAUUUCAAUAAGCUCUUGAUUCUGUUCGGUUCCAAUAGAUUCUUGUAAUUUCUUUAUAUCAUUUUCUAAGUUUACCAUUAAAAUAUUUAAUUCUUUAGUGAUGUUGUAAGCAUACUGUUGACUCAGUUGUUUAAUCUGCGUUUUUCCAAAAUCCCACCACUGCUGCAAAGAUUGGAAAUCAGAUUUAGUGGUUCUAAACUCGUACCAAAAAAACUUAAAGAUAUCUCUAAAUUCCAUAUCAGUUAAGAGGCUGUUAUUAAAAUGCCACAUUGCACUCUUUGGUUUUAUGGAUCCUAAAGUUAAAAAACACUGUACUAAACUAUGAUCCGAAAAACUAACUGGAAUAAUAGAACAAUCUCUAAAAAGAUUGAGUUGAUGACUAAAACCAUAAAAUCUGUCCAAUCUUGCUAAAGACAACCUAUUAUCAUAAGAAUGAACCCAAGUAUAUUGUCUCUGUGUCUUAUGAAAAUUCCGCCAAAUGUCUACAAGAUCAUGCGUUUCUAUAAAUUGAAUUAGCCUUUUUCGAGAAGCCAUAUGAGGCUCAACAUGAUUUCUAUCGGAGGCAAAUUCAGUACAAUUAAAAUCACCUCCAACUAAGAACAAAUCCUCAGUAUUGCAAUCACUUAAUGCUUUACAUAAUAUAUUUAAAAAACCCAUUCUUUCAACUGCAUUGGUGGGAGCAUAAAUACAACCGAAACAAUAAAAAGCAUUGUCAAAUUGAGCCCUUAUUUUUAAAAAUCUGCCCUUUACGACUUCUUCUACUUCAUAAGAAAUUGGAAUGGAGUUUUUAGAGAAUAAAAUAGCAACACCGCCACUUAAAGAUGAAUUAUGGCUAAAAAUGGUUAACCCAUCAAAUUCUCUUGCCCAAUCUUCUUCAUUAGAAACAUCACUAUGAGUUUCUUGUGCAAACAGAAUGUCUAUUUUCUUUAUCUUGAUUAACUCAUAUAAUUCAAACCUCUUCUUCCUUUCCCGUGCCCCAUUUAAAUUAAGGGAAGCAAAAUGAAAUUCUUUCAUUAAAGAGAAGAAAAGGAUAAUCAAGACACAAAAAACCCUCAUCUCAUAAGUGUGAGUUUAAAACUUUUCGGCAUUAAUUCCUAAUUGAAAAUUUACUUUUGUGAGAAUUUUUUUCAGUCUGUAAACCUCUUGAUCAGAAAAAAGACCUUCACUCUUAAAACCCUUUGCUUUUUCUACAAAUUGCUCCAAAUCAGGAAAGUACUCUGUAAUGCGCACAUUUCUUGCAUUCUUUGUCACUCUCAAAAAGAGCUUAACAUCAUCUACACUGUAAGACUGUUCUGAGGAAUCAUCCUUUGUUUGAUCAAGAGUAACACUACACUCUGAAAGGUCAGUGUCACUCUCAGUAUCAGUUUGGCUAUUUUCCAAUUUUUUUGAUUUACUGUAGUGGCUCUGUUUCAUUCUCCUCUUUUGUGGUGUUUUAAAAACACAUUCAUCUUGUUCUCCCCCAGAACACCGAUCCCCUUCCAGCUCCAUAUCUUGAUUAAUUACCGAAUUCUGCAUACCUAAACCAUCAAUUAACUGACGCCUUUCAUCAGAGACAGAAGCUUCUUCUAUAUCUGCCACUACCACUCGCUCUUUCCCCUUUUUCUUCAAAGCUGCAGCAUCACCUAAUAAACCUACUGAGUUUGCAUCGACAGGCUUUUGUACAGUGUUCUCCUCAACUACAUCCACUGUUGUAGGCACCUCACUCCUAACAACUUGUACUACCACCUCUUCCUCACCAACUUUUUUAACCGAGACUGAUGAAACUUUUUCCUUUGAUUUCUCUUCUUUUUUUGGACAAACCCUCACGAGAUGUCCUGUUUCACCACAACUAAGGCAUUUCAUGCUAUUAGUCGUAGCAUACACUACAUAGUUAAAGUCAUCAUGAUUGAAAUUGAACGUCAAAUCCAAUUCCUCUUUAUUGUCCUUUAAUACCAUGUACACAAAACGUCUGAAAGACACUACGUGUUUCAGCAACGUCGAUUUACAACCAAUCUGGAUCAUUUUGAUUGGGGAAACCAAUCUGCCAUAUCUCUCCAACAAUUUAACCAGCACCUCAGUUUUUAUGAAAGGCGGCACGUUUGAUAGAAUCACUUUUUUAGACGGAGUAGACAACGGUAACACUGGAACAAAAACAUUGUCAAUAACAACGCCACUUUCAACC